rnacentral:rRNA from 1 species
CAGCCGCUGCGGUAAUACGUAGGGUGCGAGCGUUAAUCGGAUUUACUGGGCGUAAAGCGUGCGCAGGCGGCCCGUUAAGACAGGUGUGAAAUCCCUGGGCUCAACCUAGGAAUUGCGCUUGUGACUGGCGGGCUCGAGUACGGUAGAGGGGGGUGGAAUUCCUGGUGUAGCAGUGAAAUGCGUAGAGAUCAGGAGGAACACCGAUGGCGAAGGCAGCCCCCUGGGCCUGUACUGACGCUCAUGCACGAAAGCGUGGGGAGCAAACAGGAUUAGAUACCCUGGUAGUCCACGCCCUAAACGAUGGGUACUAGCCGUUUGGUGCGCGAUAGCGCUGAGUGGCGAAGCUAACGCGUGAAGUACCCCGCCUGGGGAGUACGGCCGCAAGGUUGAAACUUAAAGGAAUUGGCGGG